rnacentral:rRNA from 1 species
UUUAAGGCUGAGACACGACGUCGAGCACCUACGGGUGUGAAGUCAUUGAUGCCAUGCUUCCAGGAAAAGCCUCUAAGCUUCAGAUUGUAAGGAAUCGUACCCCAAACCGACACAGGUGGUCGGGUAGAGAAUACCAAGGCGCUUGAGAGAACUCGGGUGAAGGAACUAGGCAAAAUGGUACCGUAACUUCGGGAGAAGGUACGCUCUUGAUGGUGAAGUCCCUUGCGGAUGGAGCUGACGAGAGUCGCAGAUACCAGGUGGCUGCAACUGUUUAUUAAAAACACAGCACUGUGCAAAAUCGUAAGAUGACGUAUACGGUGUGACGCCUGCCCGGUGCCGGAAGGUUAAUUGAUGGGGUUAGACUUCGGUCGAAGCUCUUGAUCGAAGCCCCGGUAAACGGCGGCCGUAACUAUAACGGUCCUAAGGUAGCGAAAUUCCUUGUCGGGUAAGUUCCGACCUGCACGAAUGGCGUAAUGAUGGCCACGCUGUCUCCACCCGAGACUCAGUGAAAUUGAAAUCGCUGUGAAGAUGCAGUGUACCCGCGGCUAGACGGAAAGACCCCGUGAACCUUUACUACAGCUUGGCACUGAACAUUGACCCUACAUGUGUAGGAUAGGUGGGAGGCUUUGAAGCACGUACGCCAGUAUGUGUGGAGCCGUCCUUGAAAUACCACCCUUGUAGUGUUGAUGUUCUAACGUCGACCCCUUAUCGGGGUUGCGGACAGUGCCUGGUGGGUAGUUUGACUGGGGCGGUCUCCUCCCAAAGAGUAACGGAGGAGCACGAAGGUGGGCUAAUCACGGUUGGACAUCGUGAGGUUAGUGCAAUGGCAUAAGCCCGCUUGACUGCGAGAAUGACAAUUCGAGCAGGUGCGAAAGCAGGUCAUAGUGAUCCGGUGGUUCUGAAUGGAAGGGCCAUCGCUCAACGGAUAAAAGGUACUCCGGGGAUAACAGGCUGAUACCGCCCAAGAGUUCAUAUCGACGGCGGUGUUUGGCACCUCGAUGUCGGCUCAUCACAUCCUGGGGCUGAAGUCGGUCCCAAGGGUAUGGCUGUUCGCCAUUUAAAGUGGUACGCGAGCUGGGUUUAGAACGUCGUGAGACAGUUCGGUCCCUAUCUGCCGUGGGCGUUGGAAGAUUGAAGGGGGCUGCUCCUAGUACGAGAGGACCGGAGUGGACGAACCUCUGGUGUUCGGGUUGUGUCGCCAGACGCAUUGCCCGGUAGCUAAGUUCGGAAUCGAUAACCGCUGAAAGCAUCUAAGCGGGAAGCGAGCCCUGAGAUGAGUCUUCCCUGAUACUUUAAGUAUCCUAAAGGGUUGUCGGAGACUACGACGUUGAUAGGUCAGGUGUGUAAGUGCUGUGAGGCAUUGAGCUAACUGAUACUAAUUGCCCGUGAGGCUUAACCAU